AGGAGAGUUUGAUCCUGGCUCAGGAUGAACGCUAGCGGCAGGCCUAAUACAUGCAAGUCGGACGGUAAAGCCCCCUUCGGGGGGUUGAGAGUGGCGCACGGGUGCGUAACGCGUAUGCAACCAGCCCCGUCCAGGCGGAUAGCCGGUGGAAACGCCGGAUAAUACGCCACGGUCCCGGAGGGGGGCAUCCCUUUCCGGGUGAAGCGGAGACGCGGGACGGGACGGGCAUGCGUGCCAUUAGCUGGUUGGCGGGGCGACGGCCCACCAAGGCUACGAUGGCUAGGGGAUCUGAGAGGACGGUCCCCCACACUGGUACUGAGACACGGACCAGACUCCUGCGGGAGGCAGCAGUAAGGGAUAUUGGUCAAUGGGGGGAACCCUGAACCAGCCAUGCCGCGUGAGGGAAUGAGGCCCUACGGGUCGUGAACCUCUUUUAUUCGGGGACAACGGCGGCGUCGUGAACGCCGCGUGAGGGUACCGAAGGAAUAAGCGUCGGCUAACUCCGUGCCAGCAGCCGCGGUAAUACGGAGGACGCGAGCGUUAUCCGGAUUCAUUGGGUUUAAAGGGUGCGCAGGCGGCCGUGCAAGUCAGCGGUGAAAGCCCGGGGCUCAACCCCGGAAGUGCCGUUGAUACUGCGUGGCUGGAAUGCGGUCGAGGCGGGCGGAACGUGGCGUGUAGCGGUGAAAUGCGUAGAUAUGCCACAGAACGCCGAUAGCGGAGGCAGCUCGCCAGGCCUGCAUUGACGCUCGGGCACGAAAGCGUGGGGAUGGAACAGGAUUAGAUACCCUGGUAGUCCCCU
rnacentral:rRNA from 1 species